GCGCACUCAAUCAAUGGAGAUGGCGGAGAAUGGCGAUUUAAGUUUUGCAUUUAAAUGGAGCCAGCAGCAUACUGCUCGAUUUAUUCUAUUGAGGGGGGAGAACGAUGAGCGGUUCACCGGGGUGAAAUAGCCUACUCAGCAAGUGUGGCUUGGGGGAUUGCAAGUAUCCAGGGUCAGGAGAGGGGGUAGGUGGGAAACCCGGUGCUGCCAC